GCCCCGAAUCCGCCCUGCGGGUGUGCCCGGUGCAAGCCACCCCCGACCCAGGGCUGCCUGCUGCCCAGAGGUCUCCGCUCAGCAGAGGGGAAGUCAUAGGUCUCUAGCGUCAGGGAAGACAGCAACCUUUGCAGAUGGGAAAAGAAGCGCGCCUUUAGGGAGGCACGUUUGUAGAUGUAGGUGGCGGUGUGAUGAGAUUAAUUAUGCACAAAUCGCGAUUUCUGGUGUCACAUUCCAGCGCUUAGAGCUCUGGGGAAGCUCUUUGUCAGGACACCGUAUGUUAGCACCCGUGCCAGCCUCAUUAUCCCAACAGAAAGGCCCUGGGCUGGAUGGUAAUGCACGCUCUGCAGCUUCGCUCCACACUCUGGCAGCUACAACGCAUGAGCGCCUUCUCCCAAGACCAUUCUUGUACCCUGAUAUAGUAAAAUUGCUAAAUAUGGUGAAAGUUCCCUGGCGUUUCUCUCUCUGGCUGCCAUGCCAGAGUCCAGUCUGCCGGGCUUCGCUGAAUCCGAUUCUGUUGGCAUAGUACCCAGUUUUUGCAUUCAUUUAAAGAUCAUUUUAAGGGGAUCGUGAAACUGUAUAAGUCAAUGACUGAGCAAAGGCCUGAGUUACUAGUAAGUCUGUCACAGCAAGCCCGGGCUGACAUUUCUUGAAAUUAUGUUUUGGGGGCCCCGCGAUGGGGUGGGAGCCUUUUUCGGGACGGCUUAUAAUGGCACAUAAAAAUCUGCCAAUUGGUGUGGAUGUGGAUUUUCAUCUGAGAGCCCUAAAGUUCAAAUGGUCCCAGCUGCAGGACGCGCCCAGCUGCAGUAAGGGCGGGAUCCGUGGGUGGUGGGAAGGUGUGAAGGGCUUCCGGCGCGCGGGGGGGGGGGGGGGGGAGGUGCUGGUGGUGGAAAUAUUGGCCGGUCCCAGCUACUCACUGGGACGCCCCCCACUUAAAGCAGCAGACCCGCUCUGGAGUUCCCCGAGCCUUGCUACCAGGCCCCCGGAUCCCCCACCGUGUCCAGGCCACGCGCGGUAAUCAGAAGCAGGUGUCCUGGGUAACUUGGCUUGCUGAGUCUCAGAGACUCCAGGUGGCUUGUCACCUCUGCACAACUGACCUGAGUGAAGGAUUCAUGGGGCUCAGGAAGAGGACGUGUGACACCCCACCACCACCAAGAUGCCUGUUCUUAAGAAACUUAAAACUUUGUGGUCGACAUAUCAUCAUGAUACACUUGGAGGAUGCGGUGUGGCCGUUCAGCGAACAUGCUCUCCAUAAUGACCGAAGCGGGAAAAUGAUCUAUCAUUUCCUUGUACUGGGAAUCCUCCCACUUUCUAUUCUGCUUCUUUAGGUAAUAUGUAUUGAGUCGUUGUAAACCCAGUUGCUGGCUGUUCUGGAGAACUCUGGGAUUCAGUCCUGCUUCCUAACUGCAUUUGGUCCUUUCUGAUCAGCACCCAUCUCUGAAAGUACCGGAACAGGCAUUCUCUCCUGUCAUGCGCUUCCUUACGUUAUGAGAUCCGCACCAAAUUUCUCUUAUUCAUACAGCGGAGA